GUCUCCGUAGCUCAAUCGGUAGAACUCUCGACUGUGGUCCGGUAGAAUUCGGGUUCGAGCCCCGCUGAAGGCA